GAUGAAGAACGUAGCGAAAUGCGAUACGUAAUGUGAAUUGCAGAUUUCAGUGAAUCAUCGAAUCUUUGAACGCACAUUGCGCCCGCCAGUAUUCUGGCGGGCAUGCCUGUUCGAGCGUCAUUUCAACCAUCAAGCCUUCGCUUGUGUUGGGGCCCCGCGGCUGCCGCGGUCCCCUAAAUCCAGCGGCGGGCUCGUCGUCGUACCGAGCGCAGUAGACAUCCUCGCUCCGGGAACCCGACGGGUGCCGGCCGUGAAACCCCCCACAUCAAGGUUGACCUCGGAUCAGGUAGGAAUACCCGCUGAACUUAAGCAUAUCAAUAAGCGGAGGA
rnacentral:misc_RNA from 1 species